rnacentral:rRNA from 1 species
UUAAGUGACGAUAGCCUAGGAGAUACACCUGUACCCAUACCGAACACAGAAGUUAAGCCCUAGAACGCCGGAAGUAGUUGGGGGUUCCCCCUGUGAGAUAGGGAAGUUCGCUUAGC